GGGCAUGCGUGUGUGUGUGUGUGUGUGUGUGUGUGUGUGUGUGUGUGCUCGCGCGCGCGCGCGCGCGCA
rnacentral:miRNA from 1 species